ensembl:antisense Gm16536 predicted gene 16536
AGCUAAGCAUCCUACUGGGGUUGGCAUCUUAGCUUUCCCAUUUUGUAUAUGUGCGUCCUUGGGCACGUUGCUUAACCUCUGUGUACCUGUUCUCUUGUUCUAAAUUGAAGAUAAUAACAGUGCCUACCUCAAAGGUUACCAUAAGGAUUACAUAGGUCAAAAGGCUGAAAGCACUAAGUAGGUCCUGGCAGAUCCCAGGCACUUGGUAAGUACUAACUUCGUCACCUUGUGCGGGUAGGUGUUCUCUAAAUCUAAAGCAGAAAUGCCUUGUGUGGUAUUUGUAACUUCUAGUACUUUUAUGUAGUUAUUCUCAUUCACCAUACAUUAUAAUGGAGAGAAGGGUGGCUCAGCACGCACAAAGCCAUGAGCUUGAGCUCUGAUGCUGCAUGGUGGUAUAUGCCUGUAGAGAGACACUUGAGAGUCAGAGAAAGGAGGACCAGGAGUUCAAGGUCAUCUUUAGCUACCUAGCAAGUCUGAGGUCAGCGUGGGCUACAUAAGAUCCUCAAAAAAGCCAAAAAAGGGGGCUGUUGAGAUAGGUAAGGGCACCUGCUACCAAGUCUGAUGACCUGAGUUCAACCCCAGAGAGACCUACUAGUUACUGAAAAUUGUCCUCUAACCUCCAUACACAAGCUGUGGCACAUGCCCCAUCCUCAUCCCAAUAAAUGUAAAACAAAAUCUAGGGAAAGAGACCCUAAGUGUUGGCAUUUGGGUAUGCCAAGCAUAACGACUAACACUUCAUACAUUGGCUUUGACCUUUACAGUCUGUGAGAACGCUUGUGUAUUUCUACCUCUGCCUUGUAGAUGAGGAGUCUGGCACUGUAGUGAGGAGCCUGAGGGCACUUAGUAACAGCAGGACUCUAGUCAGGUCCAACCUCUGCCUCACAAAAGCCUUGCCCAAGGCUGAAGAGGCAGUGACUAGAGUCCAGAAAGGAACUCUUUCAUGUUUUCAUUACUAUACUUAAGUCAUGUGGUCCAGGCUCUGUGACUGCUCUGCCAGGCCCCGCCCUUCACCUUAGGGAUUGCCUCGUGAUCCUGUGCUUCCACCCUCAUGGCUCUCACACACUGUGAGACUCCCCUUAUGCUCACGAGAAUCCCCUCCAUCCCAUUACCUCCUUGCAGUCCAUCUUGAGAUCUUGACCAUUGAUUUCCACACGUACAAUGAUCACUUCAUAAUACCACUCCCGCCGGAUGGGUGUGUACCAGAGACUGCCCGUGUAUAGCGAGUGGUCGAUACCACCAAUGAUCUAAAAGAAAAAGAGACAGACACCUAUGUCCUAGCACAGAAGGAGAGCAAGUUACCCAAGACUAAAUAAUAAGAUCAGCCAUUUCUUGGGGUGCCAAGAUUCUCUCUAAUCUCCCAUCAUGCCCCAUGCAUGGUAAUAUUUAGUUUCCUAAAUGUGUUCAGGAGAAGAAACACAUCGGGAUUAUUUGUAUCAAAAUCUAUAGCCCUUGACCGAAAGUUAUUUAAGCCUAAGCUAGUACAAUAAACGUGGAAUGAACUGAUUGUAUGCUGCUUUCAUACAUUUUCUUGUCUUUGCUUGUUGGAGAAUACUUGUUACUGUCCUAAUUAAUAAAUGGGCUUGAACUGA